rnacentral:rRNA from 1 species
GGUUAAGUGACUAAGCGUACACGGUGGAUGCCCUGGCAGUCAGAGGCGAUGAAGGACGUGCUAAUCUGCGAAAAGCGUCGGUAAGGUGAUAUGAACCGUUAUAACCGGCGAUGUCCGAAUGGGGAAACCCAGUGCAAUUCGUUGCACUAUCGUUAACUGAAUACAUAGGUUAACGAGGCGAACCGGGGGAACUGAAACAUCUAAGUACCCCGAGGAAAAGAAAUCAACCGAGAUUCCCCCAGUAGCGGCGAGCGAACGGGGAGCAGCCCAGAGUCUGAAUCAGCUUGUGUGUUAGUGGAACGGUCUGGAAAGUCCGACGGUACAGGGUGAUAGUCCCGUACACCAAAAUGCACAGGCUGUGAACUCGAAGAGUAGGGCGGGACACGUGGUAUCCUGUCUGAAUAUGGGGGGACCAUCCUCCAAGGCUAAAUACUCCUGACUGACCGAUAGUGAACCAGUACCGUGAGGGAAAGGCGAAAAGAACCCCGGCGAGGGGAGUGAAAAAGAACCUGAAACCGUGUACGUACAAGCAGUGGGAGCACCUUCGGGUGUGACUGCGUACCUUUUGUAUAAUGGGUCAGCGACUUAUAUUCUGUAGCAAGGUUAACCGUAUAGGGGAGCCGCAGGGAAACCGAGUCUUAACUGGGCGUUAAGUUGCAGGGUAUAGACCCGAAACCCGGUGAUCUAGCCAUGGGCAGGUUGAAGGUUGGGUAACACUAACUGGAGGACCGAACCGACUAAUGUUGAAAAAUUAGCGGAUGACUUGUGGCUGGGGGUGAAAGGCCAAUCAAACCGGGAGAUAGCUGGUUCUCCCCGAAAGCUAUUUAGGUAGCGCCUCGUGAACUCAUCUUCGGGGGUAGAGCACUGUUUCGGCUAGGGGGUCAUCCCGACUUACCAACCCGAUGCAAACUACGAAUACCGAAGAAUGUUAUCACGGGAGACACACGGCGGGUGCUAACGUCCGUCGUGAAGAGGGAAACAACCCAGACCGCCAGCUAAGGUCCCAAAGUCAUGGUUAAGUGGGAAACGAUGUGGGAAGGCACAGACAGCCAGGAUGUUGGCUUAGAAGCAGCCAUCAUUUAAAGAAAGCGUAAUAGCUCACUGGUCGAGUCGGCCUGCGCGGAAGAUGUAACGGGGCUAAACCAUGCACCGAAGCUGCGGCAGCGACACUAUGUGUUGUUGGGUAGGGGAGCGUUCUGUAAGCCUGCGAAGGUGACCUGUGAGGGUUGCUGGAGGUAUCAGAAGUGCGAAUGCUGACAUAAGUAACGAUAAAGCGGGUGAAAAGCCCGCUCGCCGGAAGACCAAGGGUUCCUGUCCAACGUUAAUCGGGGCAGGGUGAGUCGACCCCUAAGGCGAGGCCGAAAGGCGUAGUCGAUGGGAAACAGGUUAAUAUUCCUGUACUUGGUGUUACUGCGAAGGGGGGACGGAGAAGGCUAUGUUAGCCGGGCGACGGUUGUCCCGGUUUAAGCAUGUAGGCUGGUUGUCCAGGCAAAUCCGGAUAAUCAAGGCUGAGGUGUGAUGACGAGGCACUACGGUGCUGAAGUAACAAAUGCCCUGCUUCCAGGAAAAGCCUCUAAGCAUCAGGUAACAUCAAAUCGUACCCCAAACCGACACAGGUGGUCAGGUAGAGAAUACCAAGGCGCUUGAGAGAACUCGGGUGAAGGAACUAGGCAAAAUGGUGCCGUAACUUCGGGAGAAGGCACGCUGGUGUGUAGGUGAAGUCCCUGCGGAUGGAGCUGAGACCAGUCGAAGAUACCAGCUGGCUGCAACUGUUUAUUAAAAACACAGCACUGUGCAAACACGAAAGUGGACGUAUACGGUGUGACGCCUGCCCGGUGCCGGAAGGUUAAUUGAUGGGGUUAUCCGUAAGGAGAAGCUCUUGAUCGAAGCCCCGGUAAACGGCGGCCGUAACUAUAACGGUCCUAAGGUAGCGAAAUUCCUUGUCGGGUAAGUUCCGACCUGCACGAAUGGCGUAAUGAUGGCCAGGCUGUCUCCACCCGAGACUCAGUGAAAUUGAACUCGCUGUGAAGAUGCAGUGUACCCGCGGCAAGACGGAAAGACCCCGUGAACCUUUACUAUAGCUUGACACUGAACAUUGAGCCUUGAUGUGUAGGAUAGGUGGGAGGCUUUGAAGCGUGGACGCCAGUCUGCGUGGAGCCAACCUUGAAAUACCACCCUUUAAUGUUUGAUGUUCUAACGUUGGCCCCUGACCGGGGUUGCGGACAGUGUCUGGUGGGUAGUUUGACUGGGGCGGUCUCCUCCCAAAGCGUAACGGAGGAGCACGAAGGUUAGCUAAUCCUGGUCGGACAUCAGGAGGUUAGUGCAAUGGCAUAAGCUAGCUUGACUGCGAGCGUGACGGCGCGAGCAGGUGCGAAAGCAGGUCAUAGUGAUCCGGUGGUUCUGAAUGGAAGGGCCAUCGCUCAACGGAUAAAAGGUACUCCGGGGAUAACAGGCUGAUACCGCCCAAGAGUUCAUAUCGACGGCGGUGUUUGGCACCUCGAUGUCGGCUCAUCACAUCCUGGGGCUGAAGUAGGUCCCAAGGGUAUGGCUGUUCGCCAUUUAAAGUGGUACGCGAGCUGGGUUUAGAACGUCGUGAGACAGUUCGGUCCCUAUCUGCCGUGGGCGCUGGAGAAUUGAGGGGGGCUGCUCCUAGUACGAGAGGACCGGAGUGGACGCAUCACUGGUGUUCGGGUUGUCAUGCCAAUGGCACUGCCCGGUAGCUAAAUGCGGAAGAGAUAAGUGCUGAAAGCAUCUAAGCACGAAACUUGCCCCGAGAUGAGUUCUCCCUGAGACUUUAAGUCUCCUGAAGGAACGUUAAAGACGAUGACGUUGAUAGGCCGGGUGUGUAAGCGCAGCGAUGCGUUGAGCUAACCGGUACUAAUGAACCGUGAGGCUUAACCUU